UAACACGUGGGCAACCUGCCCUGAAGCGGGGGAUAACAUCUGGAAACAGGUGCUAAUACCGCAUAACAACGAAAACCACAUGGUUUUCGUUUCAAAGAUGGUUUCGGCUAUCACUUCAGGAUGGGCCCGCGGUGCAUUAGCUAGUUGGUAAGGUAACGGCUUACCAAGGCGAUGAUGCAUAGCCGAGUUGAGAGACUGAUCGGCCACAAUGGAACUGAGACACGGUCCAUACUCCUACGGGAGGCAGCAGUG
rnacentral:rRNA from 1 species